CGACGCUCCACGCACCCAGUCCCGUCCCUGUCCCAGUCCCAGCUGCGUCAAGCCUCCAGGACCAGAGUUACCCCCAUUCACCAAAAAAACAGACUUUCUUCAAAGCUCUGAAAUACCUCAGGAAACAGCGCAGGUUGGACACUCACGGACACUUUCUUUUUACCCCCGAACUUAAAAAAUAAAAGACGCCUCGCCCAUGUAGAGAUUUUCUGAAUCUGGAGCCGCUGCCACCUGACUGACACCAGAGAGGAAAAAUAUGAAGAAGAGAUGGAACUCUAUUAUAGGCCAACUUGUCAAAGGCAUGUUUUUACAAGUUGGCCUAUAACACAAUGGUAACCUUUACUGUUCUUAUUGUCAAAGCAGUUGAGAGACCAAAAUACUGAAUGAAAAGAAAUUUAAAGACACAAUAAACUCUGCUGGUAGACGGCUAUAGACAAUGCGUAUGACACAUUUCCUUUAAACAUGUGUUAGCCUAUUUUACCCCUGUGAUUAUUACCGCUGCUGUUUGGUGACAUAGCCGCUCGGCAUGUGGGAUAACAGCCUUUAGAAAUCCUAAAUAUAUCACACCCACAAGAAGUGAAAAAACUUUUGAUGGUAAAUGAUGGAGUGAAUAAAAUUCACUUUUCUACAAACA